rnacentral:tRNA from 2 species
GGUUGCGUGGCCCAGUGGUUAAGGCAUCUGCUUUACAUUGUAAUCGCAGAGGAUCGCAGGUUCGAGCCCUGCCGCGAUCA